UACGUAGGGUGCAAGCGUUAAUCGGAAUUACUGGGCGUAAAGCGUGCGCAGGCGGUUAUGUAAGACAGAUGUGAAAUGCCCGGGCUUAACCUGGGAACUGCAUUUGUGACUGCAUGGCUAGAGUGUGUCAGAGGGGGGUAGAAUUCCACGUGUAGCAGUGAAAUGCGUAGAUAUGUGGAGGAAUACCGAUGGCGAAGGCAGCCCCCUGGGAUAACACUGACGCUCAUGCACGAAAGCGUGGGGAGCAAACAGGAUUAGAUACCCUGGUAGUCCACGCCCUAAACGAUGUCUACUAGUUGUCGGGUCUUAAUUGACUUGGUAACGCAGCUAACGCGUGAAGUAGACCGCCUGGGGAGUACGGUCGCAAGAUUAA
rnacentral:rRNA from 1 species